rnacentral:ncRNA from 1 species
CGAAGGCGGCCCCCUGGACGAAGACUGACGCUCAGGUGCGAAAGCGUGGGGAGCAAACAGGAUUAGAUACCCUGGUAGUCCACGCUGUAAACGAUGUCGAUUUGGAGGUUGUGCCCUUGAGGCGUGGCUUCCGGAGCUAACGCGUUAAAUCGACCGCCUGGGGAGUACGGCCGCAAGGUUAAAACUCAAAUGAAUUGACGGGGGCCC